GCUACCCUUUAAAACCAGGGCUGAGGGGUGGCCUGUGCCUCUCUGUACUCAGGAAAGGAGGAGAGCUUGCUCUGGGUGCACGCUGGAUGUGCCUGCAUUCAAUGAUGGCUUAAAAACCGGUGAUCCUGCUGGAACAGAGAGGGACCAAUACCAUGUGCAGGGUUGGUGAUUUGAUCCCUCUCAUCUGCUGUUUUCCUUACUCCUGGAGCACCAGCCCCCUCCUUGCAGCCGGACAAGGCUGAGCAUUGAUAGCUCAUCUCUGUGCAAUGAUGAGUUAAGGGGGUGAGAACAAGGCCGCCGCACAAACAGAGCAGAGCUGCUGUUAAAUGAGGGACUGGUACCAGGAGGCUGAGACAUCUGCUCCUGGCUGCUUACGGGGAGAAGAAUGGGGCAAGUCAGGAGCUCUUGUUGAAUGAAAACACAUCCUGCUUUUGAGCUGCCCUCACCUUCCUUUACCUGCAGUGUGAAAUGGGGCAGAGUUGCAACGUCCUGAGCUCUGUGUCGCAGGUGAUCGGGCAGUGAAAAUAGACAGCUUUGAUGUGGACUGUUCUCACACGGGUGAGUGUGAUGGCAUCCCUCAGCCACUCCUCAUCAGAUUUGUGCCCUAGUUCCUUUAGCCCACUCAGUUUUGUGGCCCUUCUCGUGACACACCCCAGCACAUGGCAUGUGACUCCUUGUGAUACAAGGAAAAGUUACAGAGACCCAGGUUUUUUAUGGAUUUGGCCUUCAGUGCUCUGUCUAGUCCAGCAGCUAAGAAUGGAAGCCUUAUGUCUCAAAUAAGGAGAGGCUUAAACAAAGCAGGAGUCUUCAGAGAGCUGGCACUUGGGUUAAUGCUGGAGGAUGGAUUUGCUUGGGAUGCCUGUGCCACGACGGUCACCAGCGAACCACCAUGUGUGAGGUGUGGAUACAUGGCUGUGACACCUUUUUUUGAGCUGCCAGAAUGCACACAAAGCUUUCCAAAGACCAUUUCUCCUUUUGCUUUCUUUAAAGUUCAGUCCUGUAAACUCCUGCAGCUCAGGAGCUGAUUCACAAGCAGCUUGGGUGUCCCUGUGGUAGGAUUGCUCAGACCUCAGUGUGGGGUUAUGUGGCAUCACCGAGGAGAUGAAAUGAUUCCCUUUGUGCAAACAGAGCCCGAAGUGGAGUCACAGGACAUACCCGAAGGCUCUCCAAGGUGAUUGAUGCCAUCAGGCUGGAGCUGGUGAUCUUCUAGUCCCUCUGAAAGGAUCCCUCUGAAAGGAGUGGUGAUCAUUGCUCCCCUCUCUGAUGUGUCAGAGUCCAGGCUCACCUUGAAGGCGUUGCUGCAGAGCCAGCACCUUUGCUGGAGCAGCACCUUCCCAAGGGGGCUCUCUCACUGCUGCCCACGUCCGAGAGGAGGGAAUUAGCACCUGACCGACUCCAUCCCAGCCACGCAGCAGUGCUGGAUGAGCUGGUGCUGCAGCUUUCCUGUGUCCCAUUUCUGAAAGCUUUAUCUCUCCCUGUGAGACAGCCUCUCUCUCUGCAAGGACUUCAGUGUGACCCAGGCAAAUCCCUUUCCUUUUUCUCUUGUGUAAACGUGGCACAGCAACACAGAUCCCCUCAGGGGCCGGGUGAGGCACCCAUCUAUGUUUUCUAAGGCAGAGGCUUAAUUCUCACUCGAAAGUGUGCACAUGCAUACAGAUAUUUGACUCCCACUUCUAUUUUUAAUUUUUGUCAGAACUCUUAUGGAAAGAAGGAUCAAUAUUACUGCAAAAAAAGAAUAUAUUAUAUAUAUA